ACAGUCCCGACGCGGGUCAAAGUGUAGUAUCUGUUCUUAUCAGCUUAUUAUGCGGUACGGGUUGUAUUUGGACUCAAGAUAUUGAACUUAUUUUUGCAAGUUGGCGGGGUGCUUGAAGCCUGCUUCACCUCCACGGCGGGUCGGCCCUGUACUGCACAAUCUUUAGGAUUUUUGGUCUACGGACA